GACGAACCGAGCGAACGUUGUUCGGAAUCACUGGGCUUAAAGGGCGCGUAGGCGGGCUGUCAAGUCUGGGGUGAAAUGCCGCGGCUCAACCGUGGAACUGCCUCAGAUACUGUCGGCCUCGAGGAAGGUAGGGGCAUGCGGAACUGUAGGUGGAGCGGUGAAAUGCGUUGAUAUCUACAGGAACUCCGGUGGCGAAAGCGGCGUGCUGGACCUUUUCUGACGCUGAGGCGCGAAAGCUAGGGGAGCAAACGGG
rnacentral:rRNA from 1 species